rnacentral:rRNA from 1 species
GACGAACGCUGGCGGCGGGCCUAAUACAUGCAAGUAGAACGCAGUUGCGAACGGGUGAGUAACGCGUAGGUAACUGCCUCAUAGCGGGGGAUAACUAUUGGAAACGAUAGCUAAUACCGCAUACUGUACGCUGGACCUGCGUUGUUUUUGCUAGUUGGCGAGGUAAAGGCUCAACAAGGCGAAGCUACAUAGCCGACCUGAGCGGGCGGCCGGACAAACCGAGACUGAGACGCGUCCCAGGCUCCGACGGGAGAAAGCAGUGGGGCAUCUGCGGCAAUGGACGGAAGUCCGUACGAGCAACGCCGCGUGAGUGAAAAAGGUUUUCGGGUCGUAAAGCUCUGUUGUUAGAGAAGCGGAAACUAACCAGAAAGGGACGGCUAACUACGUGCCAGCCGCCGCGGUAAUAC